ACCAUUUCAUUGAAGGAACUGGGAUGUAUAAGUAAUCUCCCACACAUUGCGCUUACUAAGAUUUGAUUUCAUUCAAAUUUGUCAACUGUCUACCUAAUAUUUUACAAUAAUAAAAUGGGUACAUGUGGCAUGAUUGCCAAUGAGAUAACUUUGUACCAGAGACCAAAGGCAAGUGGAUGAGUACUGAAAAUUGUCUCUUGUCCUCUACAUCAGGAAUACUUAUAUAGGCAUUUUUAUACGACCGCAAAAAAAUUUUUGUGGUCGUAUAUUGGUAUGACGUCGUCGUCCGAAGACACAUUGGUUUUCGCACUCUAACUUUAGUUUAAGUGAAUGGAUCUCUAUGAAAUUUUACCACAAGGUUCAAUACCACAAAAGGAAGGUUGGGAUUGAUUUUGGGGGUUAUGGUACCAACAGUUAAGGAAUUAAGGGCCAAAAAGGGGCCAAAAAUAAGCAUUUUUGUAACUUCCAGACAUGACUUGUGUGUUAGUGUAUGGAUCUCUCUGACAUUGUACCACAAGGUUCCAUAUCACAAACAGAAUGCUGGGAUUGAUUUUGGGGGUAAUUGUCGCAAAAUUUUAGGAAUUAGGGGCCAAAAAAGGGGCAAAAAACAAGCAUUUUUCUAGUUUCUUGAUAAUAACUUGUGUGUAAGUAUAUGGAUUUUUCUGAAAUUGUACUACAAGGUUCCAUAUCACAAAGGGAAAGCUGGAAUUGAGUUUGGGGGUAAUUGCCCAAAACGUUUAGGAAUAAGGGGCCAAAAAGGGGCCAAAAAUAGCAUUUUUCUAGUUUCCAGACAAUAACUUGUGUUCAAGUGUAUGGAUCUCUCUGAAAUUGUACUGCAAGGUACCAUACCACAAAGGGAAUGCUGGGAUUGAUUUUGGGGGUAAUUGCCUCAAAAUUUUAGGAAUUAGGGGCCAAAAAGGGGCAAAAAAACAAGCAUUUUUCUAGUUUCAGGACAAUAACUUGUGUGUAGGUGUAUGGAUCUUUAUGAAAUUGUACUACAAGGUUCCAUAUCACAAAAGGAAAGCUGGGUUUGAGUUUGGGGGUAAUUGCCCUUAACGUUUAGGAAUUUGGGGCCAAAAAGGGGCCUAACAACAAGCAUUUUUCUAGUUUCCAGACAAUAACUUGUGUUCAAGUGUAUGGAUCUCUCUGAAAUUGUACUGCAAGGUACCAUAUA